UACGUAGGGUGCGAGCGUUAAUCGGAAUUACUGGGCGUAAAGCGUGCGCAGGCGGUCUGUUAAGACCGAUGUGAAAUCCCCGGGCUUAACCUGGGAACUGCAUUGGUGACUGGCAGGCUUUGAGUGUGGCAGAGGGAGGUAGAAUUCCACGUGUAGCAGUGAAAUGCGUAGAUAUCAAGUGGAACACCAGUGGCGAAGGCGAAUCCCUGGAAAAUACCUGACACUGAGGCACGAAAGCUAGGGGAGCAAACAGG
rnacentral:rRNA from 1 species